AGGGGAGUGAAAAAGAACCUGAAACCGUGUACGUACAAGCAGUGGGAGCACGCUUAGGCGUGUGACUGCGUACCUUUUGUAUAAUGGGUCAGCGACUUAUAUUCUGUAGCAAGGUUAACCGAAUAGGGGAGCCGAAGGGAAACCGAGUCUUAACUGGGCGUUAAGUUGCAGGGUAUAGACCCGAAACCCGGUGAUCUAGCCAUGGGCAGGUUGAAGGUUGGGUAACACUAACUGGAGGACCGAACCGACUAAUGUUGAAAAAUUAGCGGAUGACUUGUGGCUGGGGGUGAAAGGCCAAUCAAACCGGGAGAUAGCUGGUUCUCCCCGAAAGCUAUUUAGGUAGCGCCUCGUGAAUUCAUCUCCGGGGGUAGAGCACUGUUUCGGCAAGGGGGUCAUCCCGACUUACCAACCCGAUGCAAACUGCGAAUACCGGAGAAUGUUAUCACGGGAGACACACGGCGGGUGCUAACGUCCGUCGUGAAGAGGGAAACAACCCAGACCGCCAGCUAAGGUCCCAAAGUCAUGGUUAAGUGGGAAACGAUGUGGGAAGGCCCAGACAGCCAGGAUGUUGGCUUAGAAGCAGCCAUCAUUUAAAGAAAGCGUAAUAGCUCACUGGUCGAGUCGGCCUGCGCGGAAGAUGUAACGGGGCUAAACCAUGCACCGAAGCUGCGGCAGCGACACUAUGUGUUGUUGGGUAGGGGAGCGUUCUGUAAGCCUGUGA
rnacentral:rRNA from 1 species